UGAGGGAGAAAGAGACAUCACUUGGUUGGU
rnacentral:piRNA from 1 species